AUUGAACGCUGGCGGCAGGCUUAACACAUGCAAGUCGAGCGAGCGGCGGACGGGUGAGUAAUGUCUGGGCAACUGCCUGAUGGAGGGGGAAAACUACGGGAAACGGUAGCUAAUGCCGCAUACCAUGAGAUGUGCCCAGAUGGGAUUAGGUAGUAGGUGGGGUAAUGGCUCACCUAGGCGACGAGCCCUCGCUGGUCUGAGAGGAUGACCAGCCACACUGGAACUGAGACACGGCCCAGACUCCUACGGGAGGCAGCAGGGGGGAAUAUUGGACAAUGGGCGAAAGUCUGAUGCAGCCAGGCCGCGUGUGUGAAGAAGGCCUUCGGGUUGUAAAGCACUUUCAGCGGGGAGGCGGUACUCGAAGAAGAAGCACCGGCUAACUCCGUGCCAGCAGCCGCGGUAAUAC
rnacentral:rRNA from 1 species